rfam:Clostridium bartlettii CAG:1329 genomic scaffold, scf43
CUCUUAUCAAGAGUGGUGGAGGGACUGGCCCUGUGAAACCCAGCAACCAAUAUUUUUAAUAUAUGGUGCUAAAUCCUGCAACUUUUUUAGUUGAAAGAUGAGUA